rnacentral:tRNA from 1 species
GGUUUGUUUUAUAGUGAAUUGCAAAUUUACUUUAGCUUAGAGCGUGAGCCU